rnacentral:rRNA from 1 species
UACGUAGGGUGCGAGCGUUAAUCGGAUUUACUGGGCGUAAAGCGUGCGCAGGCGGCCCGUUAAGACAGGUGUGAAAUCCCUGGGCUCAACCUAGGAAUUGCGCUUGUGACUGGCGGGCUCGAGUACGGUAGAGGGGGGUGGAAUUCCUGGUGUAGCAGUGAAAUGCGUAGAGAUCAGGACGAACACCGAUGGCGAAGGCAGCCCCCUGGGCCUGUACUGACGCUCAUGCACGAAAGCGUGGGGAGCAAACAGG